rnacentral:rRNA from 1 species
CCUACGGGGUGCAGCAGUGAGGAAUAUUGGUCAAUGGGCGGGAGCCUGAACCAGCCAAGCCGCGUGAGGGAAGAAGGUACAGCGUAUCGUAAACCUCUUUUGUCAGGGAACAAAGGCGGGGACUAGUCCCCGGAUGAGGGUACCUGAAGAAAAAGCAUCGGCUAACUCCGUGCCAGCAGCCGCGGUAAUACGGAGGAUGCGAGCGUUAUCCGGAUUUAUUGGGUUAAAAGGGUGCGUAGGGGGUCGGAAAAGUUAGAGGGGAAAUCCCGAGGCUAAACCCCGGCCCGCCGUUGAAACUGGCAGUCUCGAGUUGGAGAGAAGUAUGCGGAAUGCGCGGUGUAGCGGUGAAAUGCAUAGAUAUCGCGCAGAACUCCGAUUGCGAAGGCAGCAUGCCGGCUCCACACUGACGCUGAGGCACGAAAGCGUGGGUAUCGAACAGGAUUAGAUACCCUGGUAGUC